GUCUUAUUGAAUUUAAUUUUAAGUCAAUCUGCCCAAUGAAUUACUUUAAUGGCUGCAGUAUAACUGACUGUACAAAGGUAGCAUAAUCAAUUGAUUUUUAAAUGAAAUCUGGAAUGAAAGAAUUAAUGAAAUAUAUACUGUCUCAUAUAUAUAUUAUAAAUUUAAAUUUUUAAUAAAAAUGUUAAAAUUUUUUUAUGGGACGAUAAGACCCUAUAGAAUUUUAUAUUAAAUUAAUUUUGUAAUUAAUAUAAAAUUUAAUUUAAUAUUUAGUUGGGAGAAUUGUUAAUUUUAAUAAAUUUUAAUAUUUAUAUAAACUUUAAUUAAAGAAAAUAUAAUGAAUAUUAAUUUAAUAUUAGUAGAUUAAAUUACCUUAGGGAUAACAGCGUAAUAUUUUUUUAUAGAUCAUAUAGAAAAAAAUGAUUGCGACCUCGAUGUUGAAUUAAGAUAAAUUUUAAAUGCAGGAGUUUAAUGAUUAAGUCUGUUCGACUUUUAAAAUCUUACAUGAUUUGAGUUCAAAUCGCCGUAAGU
rnacentral:rRNA from 1 species